UUAUGACUAUAGGUAACAUUGCUCUAAUGGAUAAAUUGAAUUAAAUCCCGUGAGGUGAGGAGGCUCUGGGGACCUUUGGUUGCUGGUUGGACUGAAAUUUAAUACCUGUGGAUAACGGAAGUGAUUCAACGAUGGAGAACAACUGCGGAUUGAUAUCGUGCGACAUGCUGGACCGGGCGGCCACCUGGGUCGGGUCGAACGUGGCCUCGGCAUUCUUCGCCUCCCUCGAGCGCUGCUCCUGUAUCAACCUCAGCACCAUCGACAUCGACGACGACGAGAACGACGACCGCCCUCUCAUGUACUAUCCCUCCAAGCCCAUAGAAUCCCAGCCCAUGCCCAAGCCCGCCGCCGCCUCUGAAUCCGAUUAGCUCGCGGUCUAUUCCGUACUUGAUUCACCGUCGUUGAUUCUAUUCCUCUUAUGUAUUUGGAAUUUGUUUUGUAAUAUAUUCCUCAAUUUCGUUGGAAUAAUUAUACAACUUGGGGUAUUAAUUGUUGCUCUAAGAAACAGGCUGUAUUUAUGGUUUUGUUUGAAUCACAAUCUGUACGCUUUUGUUGCAGAAAAACGAAUGGGAAUAUCAAUUUGAUGAAAUCUGCGUGAUAAUUGUGCGGUCUGGUAAAAUGUGAAACACAAAGUUUUGAGUUUUAUUCCAUGGAAUUGCGUAGAGAUUUCGAGCUGUAUGUGAGUUUUGUUCGGUGGAAUUUUCCCGGUAAAUUCUUUUCUCAGAGUUUCAUCAUAUGGGCCAGUAUUAAUGAAAAUUAUACCAACUGCAUAGUUUUUCUCAGUCUUAUCAGGUGGUAUAUGGAAUCUACCUUUUUGACGGGUUAUUUUCUCACAAUUAUUAUCUUUUUGUCACUCAUAGAAUACAUCAUGCUUCUGAGGUAAGGUUUAUAAAAUUUUGCCAUUCGUCUUUUUGGUUUCCCUUGUGGGACAUUAGCAAUCCUUGGACAUUUAAGCCGAUCCCGCUCCCCCCACCCCCCAACAACCUAUUUUAACGAAUGAUUGCUAUUCUUAUAAAUGAUGUAAACUUCUAUAUAUCACAUGGUAGAUUGCCCGAUGAUUCUCUAUUUUCCUCAAUCUUUUUGUUUGCAAACAUUGCCAAACAUUAUGGAUGCUCAAAAAAGGAAGAUCUAGAGCAUUUCGUUGUAUAAUUAGUUAGUUGAGGGGAAGCUGUAGACUCAAUUUUGCUGUAAGUACCUUUGUUCGAGCAUUGUCUAACAUCUUUUGAAUCAGCUUGGUGCUUGUACUAAUAUGAGCGUUAUCACCUGCUAAAGUACUCAUGCAGCACAUAGGAGUUUUUGGACUUAAAUAAGAAGUGUAAAUUUGAGAGAAGUGUGUAUGUAUGUGUGUGCACGCUCUACGAGCAUAAAGUGAUCUUAUACGAGAUUGAUUUGUGGAUAAACUGACCUUCCAUUAAUCCACUCUGCAGUUACAUAGAAUGCCCCUACCUGCAUAACCCAUGCUCCCACGCAUUAAGGUACCGUUUGGAUAAUGAAUUGAGAUGAAAAUUGAAAGUUGAAUAAAAUAUUGUAAGAAUAUUAUUUUUUAAUAUUAUUAUUGUUUGGGAUUUGAAAAUGUUGAAUUGUUUAUAAUGUUUUGUGUGAGAAUUUGGAAGAGUUAUAAUAAUGAGAUGAGAUAAAACACUUUUACUAUCCAAACGGAGCCUAAAUUUCCCUUGUUAUAGGUACCGGUUGGCUGAAGGAUCGGUCAUAAUGCAGCUUAAAGAUCUGCUUUUGAACUUUUUUUCAUUCUAAGCAAGGCUUGUAAGAUGCAAGAGCGAGAUUGUGGCUUGUGUAAGAUACAAGGAAGCGAUAAAUACGUUUUUGGCGAAUGGGAAAAGCCAGAAGCUGACCAAAUGGGGAUCCAGUUCCUGAUUAUUAGCCAAAUUGCAACUGAUCGGGUAUCCAUUCUAGUUCUAUUGGUUUGCAGAUUCUUUCUGUUAAUUUGUUUUUCUAGGCAGGAGAUGCGUUUAGUUGCAUCUGCACUAUGGUUUGUAGAAAAGUUCAAAUAGACAGGAAUUGCAUACAAGAGUGGUCAUUCUAUGUUUCGAUAUAAAGUGAGAAGAUUUCUUUAGGUGAUCAAGUGUUCGCAUGUAAUCCACCUCACCAUUGGAUUAAAUAUCUGCCGAAGGUCUCCUUAUGACUCUAUGAGGAACUGAAAAUCGGUUUGUUUUUUAAGGCUGUUAACAUACACUGUUAGUUGAACAACUCAUUCUGUUCUCAAAGAAAGCAUUCCCAUGCCUGAGGAGCGGAAAGUCUAGAUCUUUGAGGAA